GACAUGUCAUCCACUAGGGAAACUCGUGGUAAAUCCCUCAGGGAAGUGUGGAUUUCAUCUAAUGAAAUGAAUCACCAACGCUGGAAUUUCCAACUUAUAUAUACACCCCCGUCUAGACAGCAGAAGUUGGUUGCUGUGCAGCUGCAUUCACUAUGAAAGGACUAUGAUGUCACACAUUGCCAAGGUGACAAGAAAUAUACCUGUGCCUCUCUUUCCAAAUGACACCCUUGAGCUUAGUAGAUCAAAGUUGAUAUUGAGGGAGUUCUCCGCUCUCUACCUAACUUAUUUGAAAAUAGGCAAACUCAAUUGUUACUGCUGUGAAGACUCUCAGUUGGAUACUUUAAGAAUAUGGCUUCUCUGAAGAUUUUCUGCACCCCACUGUGACUCAGGUUUCUCUGCAAGGCAAAUGACCAGUAUUGGAAUCAAAUUUUGAAUUUUGAUAAUCUUAUCACUCUUUUUGGAUGGUCUUCUCACAUAAAGAUAUCAACAGCUCUUACUAUGGUCAUCCAUUUCCCAGGAUCUAGAGUUAAAAACCAAAACCCAAAACUAUUUAUGAAACCAGCUGGAUACAUCUGAACUGAGAAGUAAGCAAAAAUAUUUCAAGUUUUCAGAAACAGAAAAAUUCACCCAUAAAAGACAUCAAUGGAAGAUACAAUGAAAAUUCAUUCAUUAAAUUGACUCAAGAAAUAUUGUCAUUGGGGCAUCUAGGUGUUUAUGUCAGUUAAAUUUCCUCCUCCUGGUUUUCACCUCUGGUCAUGAUCUCAAGGUCAUCAUAUUAACCCAUAUUCAGCAUGGAGCCUGCUUGGUAUUCUCUCUUCCUUUCCCUCUGCCCCUCUCCUCCUUACACUUUCUCUUUUGCUUUCUUUACAGAAAAAAAGAACCAUUAUGCAAUUUUGCUCAGGGUGCUAUUAUAAAGACAAAUAUACCAAGCCAUAUUCUUUAUAUUUUUUGUUUGAAAAUCUUAAUUUAAAUGGUCAGUCAUUAGUUUAUACCCAAAAUAGUAAAGAACUCUAUGUUGGUCAGACAUAAUGGUAGGUGUUGUGAAGCUAACAUUUGCAUACUUAAUCCGUGUUAA